UACAGAGGUCCCAAGCGUUGUUCGGAUUCACUGGGCGUAAAGGGUGCGUAGGUGGUCGGGUAAGUCUGAUGUGAAAUCUCUGAGCUCAACUCAGAAACUGCAUUGGAUACUAUCUAGCUAGAGGAGUGGAGGGGGGACUGGAAUACUUGGUGUAGCAGUGAAAUGCGUAGAUAUCAAGUGGAACACCAGUGGCGAAGGCGAGUCCCUGGACACUUCCUGACACUGAGGCACGAAAGCUAGGGGAGCAAACAGG
rnacentral:rRNA from 1 species